rnacentral:lncRNA from 1 species
AUCAAAAUCUCAUUCUCAGACAUAUUCAAUAUAAAAUAAAAAAAAAUCUGUGACAAAGAUGUACAAAUACUUAACAUUAAGGAUUAAAAUGUUCAUCGAGAUGAGCUGUAUCCAUCGUGCCGUAUUGUACUAGCAAGAUAUUGACAUGAUAUAGACCCGCCAAUGGCACAACUCAAAACUCUUUAUUCUUGAAAUUAGUAAGUAAUUUUCUCAACAAAAUUUAAAAAAUUUGAUAAAAAUAAUAAUAAAUAAUUGGCAUAUAUUAUUGCUAAAGAAAAUAAAUAUUUUAUACUAUUAAGUGUCGGCACACAUAUAUUUUUUUUGGCCAGCACGUAUCGGCUCAGUUCGGCACUCACCAUAUCGUACUGUAACAGCAAGUUUCCGGCAUGACCUCAUACCACCG